AGAGUUUGAUCCUGGCUCAGAAUCAACGCUGGCGGCGCGCCUAACACAUGCAAGUCGCACGAGAAAGUGGAGCAAUCCAUGAGUACAGUGGCGUACGGGUGAGUAACACGUGGGUAAUCUACCUUUGGUGGGGAAUAACUCUGGGAAACCGGAGCUAAUACCGCAUAAUCCUGAGAAGGAAAAGCAGCAAUGCGCCGAAG
rnacentral:rRNA from 1 species